AGUGAACGCUGGCGGUAGGCCUAACACAUGCAAGUCGAACGGCAGCACAGUAAGAGCUUGCUCUUACGGGUGGCGAGUGGCGGACGGGUGAGGAAUACAUCGGAAUCUACUUUUUCGUGGGGGAUAACGUAGGGAAACUUACGCUAAUACCGCAUACGACCUACGGGUGAAAGCAGGGGAUCUUCGGACCUUGCGCGAUUGAAUGAGCCGAUGUCGGAUUAGCUAGUUGGCGGGGUAAAGGCCCACCAAGGCGACGAUCCGUAGCUGGUCUGAGAGGAUGAUCAGCCACACUGGAACUGAGACACGGUCCAGACUCCUACGGGAGGCAGCAGUGGGGAAUAUUGGACAAUGGGCGCAAGCCUGAUCCAGCCAUACCGCGUGAGUGAAGAAGGCCUUCGGGUCGUAAAGCCCUUUUGUUGGGAAAGAAAAGCAGCAGGUUAAUACCCCGCUGUUCUGACGGUACCCAAAGAAUAAGCCCCGGCUAACUUCGUG
rnacentral:rRNA from 1 species